CUUUUUUGCCAUCUGACUUUUCUGUCUGUUAUCCAAAGCAGAGACCCCAACAGAAAGCCUCACAGAGCCUGAAUUGGCCCAAAAGGAGGAAGCAGAAGGGGACCGGCCCACGACGCCCGCUGAGCACUUAGAGACCUCCCCAGCCGAGCCCCCGACAGACAGCACCUCAGAGCCUGAGGUGGCCGGAAAGCAGGAAGCACGGGCGGGGGACCAGGCUGAGCCUCCCCCCAGAGCUCCCAAGACGGUCAGCAGUUUCUUCGCCCCUCGGAAGCCGGCGACCAAGAAAGAAGGGAAAGAAGAGGGACCUGGCGCCCCUAGAAAGGAGGAGGCCAAAGGACCCCUGGACCCCUCUGGCUACAACCCGGCCAAGAACAACUACCAUCCCGUCGACGACGCCUGCUGGAAGCCGGGCCAGAAGGUCCCUUACCUGGCUGUGGCCCGGACAUUUGAGAAGAUCGAGGAGGUUUCUGCUCGGUAAUCUGUCGGACCCCCCUGUGGGGGGGGCGG